GCAGGACUGACAAAAGAUCCCAGGAGGGAAAAUAUGACUUCUUGUGUGGUCUAAGAAGCCUUACUGCUUUGAAGAAUCUCCUAAUUAGAACAUGCAAUGCUAAAUCCUUCACUAGAAAAAAAACUUAAGGCAGACAGCUGGACGUUCAAAGUGGAAACACCCAGACCUUUGUGAAGCCCAUCCUGAAGGAAGUGUAAAAUAGAAUCAACUAAAGGAUGUACUUGAAGAAAUUGAUGUUCCUUACACCAAUGUAGAAAUUUCGCCCAAAUUCUCAUGUACAACUUUGAGGUGGAACGUCUGGUAGAUUGAAGGAGUAAUUGGACCCUGUCUUCCUGAAGACCCUGAUAAUGAAGGAUUAGCAUUGCAACAGCCAUGCCGUCAAUCUGAACAUCUAUAGAAUUUCCAGAGGUAACUCCCUGUUUUCUAUCAGAGCUUUUGAGAUUGGAAGUUCACAAUACGUGGAAGCUAUCUCCUUCAAGUCCAAAAACCAGCUCCUGUUUGCCAGUACAGAACGAUUGCUAGAACCACUGCCCUGUCUGUCCUUAUCUUUUGAAGAAUUCUUGGGACCAGCUUUAUUGGAGGAAAGAUGUCCGCUAGGGAGAAAAUCACAUUGGAGUGAUAGACCAUCUAUCCAUUGAGGAUGAUCUGUCCUGAACAGGGAGGCAAAUUUGGGAGCCUUGGUGUUCUCUCUUCUUGCCAUAAGGUCUACGAUGGGCAUUCCAAAU